rnacentral:rRNA from 1 species
AGGACGAACGCUGGCGGCGUGCCUAACACAUGCAAGUGGAGCGACGAACCAGGCUUCGGCCUGGGGCAAAGCCGCGAACGGGUGAGUAACACGUGGGUAACCUGCCCCGAUGAUUGGGACAACCCGAGGAAACUCGGGCUAAUACCGAAUGUGCCCUCCGACCAUAAGGUCGCUGGGGAAAGGAAGCUUCGGCCUUCGCAUCGGGAUGGGCCCGCGGCCCAUUAGCUUGUUGGUGAGGUAACGGCUCACCAAGGCAACGAUGGGUAGCUGGUCUGAGAGGACGAUCAGCCACACUGGGACUGAGACACGGCCCAGACUCCUACGGGAGGCAGCAGUGGGGAAUCUUGCGCAAUGCGCGAAAGCGUGACGCAGCAACGCCGCGUGGGGGAAGAAGGCUUUCGGGUUGUAAACCCCUUUCAGUUGGGACGAAGCUUCUCCGGUGAAUAGCCGGACGGAGUGACGGUACCUUCACAAGAAGCACCGGCUAACUACGUGCCAGCAGCCGC